GAUGAACGCUGGCGGCGUGCCUAAUACAUGCAAGUCGAGCGAACAGACGAGGAGCUUGCUCCUCUGACGUUAGCGGCGGACGGGUGAGUAACACGUGGAUAACCUACCUAUAAGACUGGGAUAACUUCGGGAAACCGGAGCUAAUACCGGAUAAUAUAUUGAACCGCAUGGUUCAAUAGUGAAAGACGGUUUUGCUGUCACUUAUAGAUGGAUCCGCGCCGCAUUAGCUAGUUGGUAAGGUAACGGCUUACCAAGGCAACGAUGCGUAGCCGACCUGAGAGGGUGAUCGGCCACACUGGAACUGAGACACGGGCCAGACUCCUACGGGAGGCAGCAGUAGGGAAUCUUCCGCAAUGGGCGAAGGCCUGACGCAGCAACGCCGCGUGAGUGAAGAAGGUCUUCGGAUCGUAAAACUCUGUUAUUAGGGAAGAACAAAUGUGUAUGUAACUAUGCACGUCUUGACGGUACCUAAUCAGAAAGCCACGGCUAACUACGUG
rnacentral:rRNA from 1 species